GCAGUCGUGGCCGAGUGGUUUUUGGCGAUGGACUAGAAAUCCAUUGGGGUCUCCCCACACAGGUUCGAAUCCUGUCGACUGCG
rnacentral:tRNA from 2 species